AUUGAACGCUAGCGGCAGGCCUUACACAUGCAAGUCGAGCGAGUGGCGGACGGGUGAGUAAUGUAUGGGAACCUGCCCAGUAGCGGGGGAUAACUACUGGAAACGGUAGCUAAUACCGCAUACCAUCGGAUGUGCCCAUAUGGGAUUAGCUAGUGGGUGGGGUAACGGCUCACCUAGGCGACGAUCCCUAGCUGGUCUGAGAGGAUGACCAGCCACACGGGAACUGAGACACGGUCCAGACGCCUACGGGAGGCAGCAGUGGGGAAUUUUGUACAAUGGGGGAAACCCUGAUCCAGCCAUCCCGCAUGUAUGAUGAAGGCCUUCGGGUUGUAAAGUACUUUUGGCAGGGAAGCGGUAUCUGCAGAAUAAGCACCGGCUAACUACGUGCCAGCAGCCGCGGUAAUAC
rnacentral:rRNA from 1 species